rnacentral:rRNA from 1 species
AGGUAAGCUACUAAGAGCGAAUGGUGGAUGCCUUGACUGGUAAAGGCGAUGAAGGACGUACUAGACUGCGAUAAGCUACGGGGAGCUGUCAAGAAGCUUUGAUCCGUAGAUUUCCGAAUGGGGCAACCCAAUGUAUAGAGAUAUACAUUACCUAUAUAGGAGCGAACGAGGGGAAUUGAAACAUCUUAGUACCCUCAGGAAAAGAAAUCAAUAGAGAUUACGUCAGUAGCGGCGAGCGAAAGCGCAAGAGGGCAAACCCAGUGCUUGCACUGGGGGUUGUAGGACUGCAAUGUGCAAGAGGUAAGUUUAGCAGAACAUUCUGGAAAGUAUAACCAUAGAGGGUGAUAGUCCCGUAUGCGAAAAACAAACCUUAGCUAGCAGUAUCCUGAGUAGGGCGGGACACGAGGAAUCCUGUCUGAAUCCGGGUCGACCACGAUCCAACCCUAAAUACUAAUACCAGAUCGAUAGUGCACAAGUACCGUGAGGGAAAGGUGAAAAGAACUGAGGUGAUCAGAGUGAAAUAGAACCUGAAACCAUUUGCUUACAAUCAUUCAGAGCCCUAUGUAGCAAUACAGGGUGAUGGACUGCCUUUUGCAUAAUGAGCCUGCGAGUUGUGGUGUCUGGCAAGGUUAAGCAAACGCGAAGCCGUAGCGAAAGCGAGUCUGAAUAGGGCGCUUAGUCAGAUGCUGCAGACCCGAAACGAAGUGAUCUAUCCAUGAGCAAGUUGAAGCUAGUGUAAGAACUAGUGGAGGACUGAACCCAUAGGCGUUGAAAAGCCCCGGGAUGACUUGUGGAUAGGGGUGAAAGGCCAAUCAAACUUCGUGAUAGCUGGUUCUCUCCGAAAUAUAUUUAGGUAUAGCGUUGUGUCGUAAUAUAAGGGGGUAGAGCACUGAAUGGGCUAGGGCAUACACCAAUGUACCAAACCCUAUCAAACUCCGAAUACCUUAUAUGUAAUCACAGCAGUCAGGCGGCGAGUGAUAAAAUCCGUCGUCAAGAGGGAAACAACCCAGACUACCAGCUAAGGUCCCUAAAUCUUACUUAAGUGGAAAACGAUGUGAAGUUACUUAAACAACCAGGAGGUUGGCUUAGAAGCAGCCAUCCUUUAAAGAAAGCGUAAUAGCUCACUGGUCUAGUGAUUUUGCGCGGAAAAUAUAACGGGGCUAAAGUAAGUACCGAAGCUGUAGACUUGCACACAACUUAGAUUAUUUAAGUUUAGAAUAUGAGAAACUAAGUUAUAUGUUUAGUUAUAUUUUUACUGAUUUUUAUAGAGUAAAGAUAGAAAUAAAACUUAGUAAAAUCAGUAAAAAUAUUCUUAGACUAAAGUUAAGUAGUUUAAGUUGUGUGCAAGUGGUAGGAGAGCGUUCUAUUUGCGUCGAAGGUAUACCGGUAAGGAGUGCUGGAGCGAAUAGAAGUGAGCAUGCAGGCAUGAGUAGCGAUAAUUAAUGUGAGAAUCAUUAACGCCGUAAACCCAAGGUUUCCUACGCGAUGCUCGUCAUCGUAGGGUUAGUCGGGUCCUAAGUCGAGUCCGAAAGGGGUAGACGAUGGCAAAUUGGUUAAUAUUCCAAUACCAACAUUAGUGUGCGAUGGAAGGACGCUUAGGGCUAAGGGGGCUAGCGGAUGGAAGUGCUAGUCUAAGGUCGUAGGAGGUUGUACAGGCAAAUCCGUAUAACAAUACUCCGAGAACUGAAAGGCUUUUUGAAGUCUUCGGAUGGAUAGAAGAACCCCUGAUGCCGUCGAGCCAAGAAAAGUUUCUAAGUUUAGCUAAUGUUGCCCGUACCGUAAACCGACACAGGUGGGUGGGAUGAGUAUUCUAAGGCGCGUGGAAGAACUCUCUUUAAGGAACUCUGCAAAAUAGCACCGUAUCUUCGGUAUAAGGUGUGGUUAGCUUUGUAUUAGGAUUUACUCCGAAAGCAAGGAAACUUACAACAAAGAGUCCCUCCCGACUGUUUACCAAAAACACAGCACUCUGCUAACUCGUAAGAGGAUGUAUAGGGUGUGACGCCUGCCCGGUGCUCGAAGGUUAAUUGAUGGGGUUAGCAUUAGCGAAGCUCUUGAUCGAAGCCCGAGUAAACGGCGGCCGUAACUAUAACGGUCCUAAGGUAGCGAAAUUCCUUGUCGGUUAAAUACCGACCUGCAUGAAUGGCGUAACGAGAUGGGAGCUGUCUCAAAGAGGGAUCCAGUGAAAUUGUAGUGGAGGUGAAAAUUCCUCCUACCCGCGGCAAGACGGAAAGACCCCGUGGACCUUUACUACAGCUUGACACUGCUACUUGGAUAAGAAUGUGCAGGAUAGGUGGGAGGCUUUGAGUAUAUGACGCCAGUUGUAUAUGAGCCAUUGUUGAGAUACCACUCUUUCUUAUUUGGGUAGCUAACCAGCUUGAGUUAUCCUCAAGUGGGACAAUGUCUGGUGGGUAGUUUGACUGGGGCGGUCGCCUCCCAAAUAAUAACGGAGGCUUACAAAGGUUGGCUCAGAACGGUUGGAAAUCGUUCGUAGAGUAUAAAGGUAUAAGCCAGCUUAACUGCAAGACAUACAAGUCAAGCAGAGACGAAAGUCGGUCUUAGUGAUCCGGUGGUUCUGUGUGGAAGGGCCAUCGCUCAAAGGAUAAAAGGUACCCCGGGGAUAACAGGCUGAUCUCCCCCAAGAGCUCACAUCGACGGGGAGGUUUGGCACCUCGAUGUCGGCUCAUCGCAUCCUGGGGCUGGAGCAGGUCCCAAGGGUAUGGCUGUUCGCCAUUUAAAGCGGUACGCGAGCUGGGUUCAGAACGUCGUGAGACAGUUCGGUCCCUAUCUGCCGUGGGCGUAAGAAGAUUGAAGAGAUUUGACCCUAGUACGAGAGGACCGGGUUGAACAAACCACUGGUGUAGCUGUUGUUCUGCCAAGAGCAUCGCAGCGUAGCUAAGUUUGGAAAGGAUAAACGCUGAAAGCAUCUAAGCGUGAAGCCAACUCUAAGAUGAAUCUUCUCUAAGCUCUCUAGAAGACUACUAGUUUGAUAGGCUGGGUGUGUAAUGGAUGAAAGUCCUUUAGCUGACCAGUACUAAUAGAGCGUUUGGCUUAUCUUU